rnacentral:rRNA from 1 species
UGGAGAAUUUUGGACAAUGGACGCAAGUCUGAUCCAGCCAUGCCGCGUGCGGGAAGAAGGCCUUCGGGUUGUAAACCGCUUUUGUCAGGGAAGAAACGAGUUUCUCUAAUACAGAGACUUAAUGACGGUACCUGAAGAAUAAGCACCGGCUAACUACGUGCCAGCAGCCGCGGUAAUACGUAGGGUGCGAGCGUUAAUCGGAAUUACUGGGCGUAAAGCGUGCGCAGGCGGUUUUGUGAGACAGAGGUGAAAUCCCCGGGCUCAACCUGGGAAUUGCCUUUGUGACUGAAAGGCUUGAGUGCGGCAGAGGGGGAUGGAAUUCCGCGUGUAGCAGUGAAAUGCGUAGAUAUGCGGAGGAACACCGACGGCGAAGGCAAUCCCCUAGGCCUGCACUGACGCUCAUGCACGAAAGCGUGGGGAGCAAACA